rnacentral:rRNA from 1 species
AUAGACAGCCAUACCACCCUGAAAACACCCGAUCUCGUCUGAGCUCAGAAGCUAAGCAGGGUCGAGCCUUAGUACUUGGAAGAGAUAAGAUAUUUAAGUAAAAUAUAUGGUAUAUU